rnacentral:rRNA from 1 species
UGCGCAGGCGGGUUUGUAAGUCAGUGGUGAAAUACUGCCACUCAACGGUAGGAUUGCCAUUGAUACUGCAAAUCUUGAGUUUGGAUGAGGUAGGCGGAAUGUGCAGUGUAGCGGUGAAAUGCAUAGAGAUUGCACAGAACACCGAUUGCGAAGGCAGCUUACUAAUCCACGACUGACGCUGAGGCACGAAAGCGUGGGGAGCGAACAGGAUUAGAUACCCUGGUAGUCC